rnacentral:rRNA from 1 species
AGAGUUUGAUCCUGGCUCAGGAUGAACGCUAGCGGCAGGCUUAACACAUGCAAGUCGAGGGGCAGCAUAAUGGAUAGCAAUAUCUAUGGUGGCGACCGGCGCACGGGUGCGUAACGCGUAUGCAACCUACCUUUAACAGGGGGAUAACACUGAGAAAUUGGUACUAAUACCCCAUAAUAUCAUAGAAGGCAUCUUUUAUGGUUGAAAAUUCCGAUGGUUAGAGAUGGGCAUGCGUUGUAUUAGCUAGUUGGUGGGGUAACGGCUCACCAAGGCGACGAUACAUAGGGGGACUGAGAGGUUAACCCCCCACACUGGUACUGAGACACGGACCAGACUCCUACGGGAGGCAGCAGUGAGGAAUAUUGGUCAAUGGACGCAAGUCUGAACCAGCCAUGCCGCGUGCAGGAUGACGGCUCUAUGAGUUGUAAACUGCUUUUGUACGAGGGUAAACGCAGAUACGUGUAUCUGUCUGAAAGUAUCGUACGAAUAAGGAUCGGCUAACUCCGUGCCAGCAGCCGCGGUAAUACGGAGGAUUCAAGCGUUAUCCGGAUUUAUUGGGUUUAAAGGGUGCGUAGGCGGUUUGAUAAGUUAGAGGUGAAAUUUCGGGGCUCAACCCUGAACGUGCCUCUAAUACUGUUGAGCUAGAGAGUAGUUGCGGUAGGCGGAAUGUAUGGUGUAGCGGUGAAAUGCUUAGAGAUCAUACAGAACACCGAUUGCGAAGGCAGCUUACCAAACUAUAUCUGACGUUGAGGCACGAAAGCGUGGGGAGCAAACAGGAUUAGAUACCCUGGUAGUCCACGCAGUAAACGAUGAUAACUCGUUGUCGGCGAUACACAGUCGGUGACUAAGCGAAAGCGAUAAGUUAUCCACCUGGGGAGUACGUUCGCAAGAAUGAAACUCAAAGGAAUUGACGGGGGCCCGCACAAGCGGAGGAACAUGUGGUUUAAUUCGAUGAUACGCGAGGAACCUUACCCGGGCUUGAAUUGCAGAGGAAGGAUUUGGAGACAAUGACGCCCUUCGGGGCCUCUGUGAAGGUGCUGCAUGGUUGUCGUCAGCUCGUGCCGUGAGGUGUCGGCUUAAGUGCCAUAACGAGCGCAACCCCUCUCCUUAGUUGCCAUCAGGU